UACGGAGGGGGCUAGCGUUGUUCGGAAUUACUGGGCGUAAAGCGCGCGUAGGCGGACCUGCAAGUCGGGGGUGAAAGCCCGAGGCUCAACCUCGGAACUGCCUUCGAUACUGCGGGUCUCGAGUCCGGGAGAGGUGAGUGGAAUUCCUAGUGUAGAGGUGAAAUUCGUAGAUAUUGGGAAGAACACCGGUGGCGAAGGCGGCUCACUGGCUCAUAUCUGACGCUCAGGCGCGACAGCGUGGGGAUCAAACAGG
rnacentral:rRNA from 1 species